rnacentral:tRNA from 1 species
UUAAUUGAAACCAAACUAGAGGUAAAUCACUGUUAAUGAUUUAAAUGGGGUACCCCCCAAUUAAG